rnacentral:rRNA from 1 species
UUGCACGCUGGCGGCAGGCUUCACACCUGCAAGUCGAGCGGUAGCACAGGGGAGCUUGCUCCCUGGGUGACGAGCGGCGGACGGGUGAGUAAUGUCUGGGAAACUGCCUGAUGGAGGGGGAUAACUACUGGAAACGGUAGCUAAUACCGCAUAACGUCGCAAGACCAAAGAGGGGGACCUUCGGGCCUCUUGCCAUCAGAUGUGCCCAGAUGGGAUUAGCUAGUAGGUGGGGUAAUGGCUCACCUAGGCGACGAUCCCUAGCUGGUCUGAGAGGAUGACCAGCCACACUGGAACUGAGACACGGUCCAGACUCCUACGGGAGGCAGCAGUGGGGAAUAUUGCACAAUGGGCGCAAGCCUGAUGCAGCCAUGCCGCGUGUGUGAAGAAGGCCUUCGGGUUGUAAAGCACUUUCAGCGAGGAGGAAGGUGGUGAGCUUAAUACGUUCAUCAAUUGACGUUACUCGCAGAAGAAGCACCGGCUAACUCCGUG